AUUUAAAUCAAUCAAGAAGGUAGAAAAAGAUGGAAAUCUAAUAUUUCCAAGUAGUUUUUUAAUUUUAUCUGCCUUCUGUAUUGGAUUUUUUGAAGUAGAAUAAUGGAUGCUUUUUGCAAUAUUGUUUAACUUUUCCAUUUCACUUUUAAUUUACAGAAAUCGUUUUCUUCUGGAUAUAAUUUUUUCAAACAAAACAUUUUAAUUGAGCUUACUUAAAUUAACAUAAAUCCAAUUUAAAUUAACAUAAAUCCAAUUCUAAGUGUACAGUUUGAUGAAUUUUUACAUAUGUAAUCACCCAUAUAAUGACUACCCAUAAGAUACAAAGUAUUUCCAGACUCCCCAAAGACUCUCCUGGAUUUUCUCAAGUCCCUUCUCCCAGAAGAAGAGCACUGUUCUGAGCUCCGUCACCGAAAUAAUAACUUAAUGCCGUAACAUCCAGAAAUUAGUUGUCAAAGCAAGGAGCUAGAACAUGAAGAGGAAUGAAGAAGUGCAAUUUCCAACUCUACUCCCAACCCAAACCGGAUUUUCAGAGGCCAUACUGAAAAUAUAGUCCACAAACUACAGUGAGUUGUUGGGGAGUCAACAAACAAGAAUUCUUACUGAUUUUCUCAGAUUCAGAGAGAAGCAAACCAAACAGAAAGCCUCGUCCUUUUCUGUUCUGAAUGAGAAGAAACCAGAAGGUGGUUGGAGAAAAAUGGACUGAGUAGACGAUAAAGGUUACUCUUUGUGACAAAGAUCUGUUUCCAUCCGACUCUGUUCCCAUCCUGGGCAGUUCCACAUGGAUAUUCAUCAAUACUCCAAUUUCUUUCUGGCUUCUUCCUGUUUUGCAUUUCUACUUUUCUUCGUUCAAACCACGCAUCGUUGUCAUGUUUUUUCAGAAAUUAAUACUGUUUAUCACAGCAAGAACAUGGAACCAACCAUGCUGCCC